AUUGAACGCUGGCGGCAUGCUUUACACAUGCAAGUCGAACGGUAACAGGGUGCUUGCACCGCUGACGAGUGGCGAACGGGUGAGUAAUACAUCGGAAUGUACCCAGUAAUGGGGGAUAACGCUUCGAAAGGAGUGCUAAUACCGCAUACGCCCUGAGGGGGAAAGUGGGGGACCGCAAGGCCUCACGUUAUUGGAGCAGCCGAUGGCUGAUUAGCUAGUUGGUGAGGUAAAGGCUCACCAAGGCGACGAUCAGUAGCGGGUCUUAGAGGACGAUCCGCCACACUGGAACUGAGACACGGUCCAGACUCCUACGGGAGGCAGCAGUGGGGAAUCUUGGACAAUGGGCGAAAGCCUGAUCCAGCCAUGCCGCGUGCAGGAUGAAGGCCUUCGGGUUGUAAACUGCUUUUGUACGGAACGAAAAGCCUCUUUCUAAUAAAGAGAGGUCAUGACGGUACCGUAAGAAUAAGCACCGGCUAACUACGUGCCAGCAGCCGCCGCAGUAA
rnacentral:rRNA from 1 species